GACAUCUUGGCCGAGUGGUUAAGGCGACAGACUAGAAAUCUGUUGGGUUUUGCCCGCGUACGUUCAAAUCGUGCAGAUGUCG
rnacentral:tRNA from 1 species